rnacentral:lncRNA from 1 species
CUGGUCACCCCAAAGAGGUCCCGUCCUCGUCCCGGGGGGACCAGUCAUCCCGAGGUGGGACCAGUGCCCUGGCCGGGGUGGCUGCAGAGGGAAAGUGGGCAGGCUGAUCAGGAACUGGAAGUUGGGUGCAUCUGGGAGGGAGGAGGGAGUAGAAGCCACUGUCCCCAAUGGAGAAAGGAAUAAGUCUCUGCGCUGUGUCCCCAAGUGUAGUUACCGAGUUCGAGAAAUGAUCACCUGCUCUCUCAACCUUAAUCGCAAACCUCUGUAGAGGAGCAGGCCCCAACAGCAGGUGCAGAGCAGAUGGAGCCUGUACCCAUGUAGGUUCCAAGAAGCAUCCAUACUCUCUGUCCCCGAAAAGGCAAGUUGAAUUUUUCCAUUUCUUAUAACUUGACCUCAAAUAUAGGCCAGUAUGAUAUACACAUAAGUAAAAUGCUCUUGGUAUUUUGAUAAGUAUGUUUAAUUUUUAAAAAACAGACUUUGGCAAGUUAAGCCACUUACUCAUACACAAAAUUAGAGAUGAAGCCAGGAUUAUGUUAUUUAGCCAUUUAAAGCCACGUUAAAUACUGACACCACAAAUAUUCAAAUUUCCUUCUAUAAUCCACUGUAGGUUCACAAGAUUAGGAGUAGUAAUUUUAAUCACUCAUUGUAAUUUAAUUUAUAGCAUUGCAUUCCAUAUUUACUUUUUUUUUUUUUUUUUUUUUUUUCCAUAUUUACUUUUGCUAUGUACUGUUUUUAUUUCUUUUAAAUGUGCUUGCUUUUAACAUUUUAGAUGCUUUGGUGCCAGUGUCUGGGGAUCUGAGAAUAAAUUUAUUUUCACCUUAAGACAGUAUAGAAGACUAAGGUUCUGGAGUCAGACUACCAAAUUUGUCUAGUCCUACCUCUGUGCCCUUGCAUAAAUUACUUAAACUUUUAAAACCCUGCUUUCUAUCAUCUGUACAAUGAGGAUAUUAAUAGUAUUUACCUUCCAGAUUAUUAUAAGGAUUAAAUCAUACAAUUUGUGUGCUUACGACAGAGCAAAUGCUCAAUAAAUGUUGGCUUUUGUAACUAUUACUUCCACAUCCUAUAAUUGUAUAAACUUUAUCCUUGAGAACAUGGAUCAGUUAUCUUACUUUUUGAAACCUUAAAAUUCAUUUUCAUAAGUAUAAAACAUAAAUUCAUUUAUGCUUACUUUCCCUGUUUAAGUAUGUGUUCGCAUUAAAAAAACUAACUCUCGUAUGUUUUGAGUAACAUUGUUAGUGGCUGGCAAGAUGUUUGGCUGACAAAUAUUUUAUAUAAUCUUCAAAUUCAGAGGUUGGUUGAAGUUAAAUUUUUUAAGUAUCAAGGUAAAAGCAAACAUCUGUAUUUAAAAUUUAAUAAAAAUUAUAAUA